UACGUAGGGUGCGAGCGUUAAUAGGAUUUACUGGGCGUAAAGCGUGCGCAGGCGGCCCGUUAAGACAGGUGUGAAAUCCCUGGGCUCAACCUAGGAAUUGCGCUUGUGACUGGCGGGCUCGAGUACGGUAGAGGGGGGUGGAAUUCCUGGUGUAGCAGUGAAAUGCGUAGAGAUCAGGAGGAACACCGAUGGCGAAGGCAGCCCCCUGGGCCUGUACUGACGCUCAUGCACGAAAGCGUGGGGAGCAAACAGG
rnacentral:rRNA from 1 species